rnacentral:sRNA from 1 species
CAAAAAAAUAAAAUAUUAAAAAUUCUAAAUUUCUAGGAAUAUUUAUUUCGGUUUUUUUCAAUUAGGUUUAAGCAUAAAGUGAUUAUUUUUUUUAUAAAAAAACCAAAAAGUGAAAAAAAAAAUAAAAAACCAAAAAGUGAAAAAAAAAAUAAAAAACCACAAUUUAUACCAUUUGAAACAUUUCAUCACAACGGUGCUCAGGGUCAGCGAGGUAUACGUAUACGUUUUCGAACACAGUGCAGCAGAUAUCACCACACGGCUGAUACACGGCUCGACAAUCGUCUGGGCAGGACACUACGUUUCCCAGGGAGUGACACGGAUGCCACAAGAUAUGUGGUCGAAAAACCAAAAAAUUGAAAUCGAAAAACAAACGCAAACAACAAUUUGGAACUCUGAAAUAUUUACUCUAUAUUUUGAUACUAAAAAUGAUUAUAUUUUGAUACUAAAAAUGA